GUGGGCGGCACAACCAGCAUUCUACGCCGCUGGCUUACGUUGUACUCGAAAAUCGUGUCCAGUGCCGUUGAUUGCAAUUGUGUGGACGCAAA
rnacentral:pre_miRNA from 1 species